ACUUUCAACAACGGAUCUCUUGGUUCCGGCAUCGAUGAAGAACGCAGCGAAAUGCGAUAAGUAAUGUGAAUUGCAGAAUUCAGUGAAUCAUCGAAUCUUUGAACGCACAUUGCGCCCCCUGGUAUUCCGGGGGGCAUGCCUGUCCGAGCGUCAUUACUGCCCCUCAAGCGCGGCUUGUGUGUUGGGCCGCCGUCCCCUGCGCCUCCGGGCAAGGGGGACGGGCCCGAAAGGCAGUGGCGGCGCCGCGUCCGGUCCUCGAGCGUAUGGGGCUUUGUCACCCGCUCAGUAGGUCGGGCCGGGGCCUUUGCCCUCUCCAACCUUUUUUUCCUUAGGUUGACCUCGGAUCAGGUAGGGAUACCCGCUGAACUUAAGCAUAUCAAUAAGCGGAGGAAAAGAAACCAACCGGGAUUGCCUCAGUAACGGCGAGUGAAGCGGCAAGAGCUCAAAUUUGAAAGCUGGCCCCUCCGGGGUCCGCAUUGUAAUUUGCAGAGGAUGCUUCGGGCUCAGCCCCCGUCUAAGUGCCCUGGAACGGGCCGUCGGAGAGGGUGAGAAUCCCGUCUGGGACGGGGUGCCUGGGUCCAUGUGAAGCUCCUUCGACGAGUCGAGUUGUUUGGGAAUGCAGCUCUAAAUGGGUGGUAAAUUUCAUCUAAAGCUAAAUACUGGCCGGAGACCGAUAGCGCACAAGUAGAGUGAUCGAAAGAUGAAAAGCACUUUGAAAAGAGAGUUAAACAGCACGUGAAAUUGUUGAAAGGGAAGCGCUUGCGAUCAGACUCGCCUGCGGGGUUCAGCCGGCAUUCGUGCCGGUGUACUUCCCCGUGGGCGGGCCAGCGUCGGUUCGGGUGGCCGGUCAAAGGCCCCGGGAAUGUGUCGCCCUCCGGGGCGUCUUAUAGCCCGGGGUGCCAUGCGGCCUACCUGGACCGAGGAACGCGCUUCGGCUCGGACGCUGGCGUAAUGGUCGUAAGCGACCCGUCUUGAAACACGGACCAAGGAGUCUAACAUCUACGCGAGUGUUUGGGUGGCAAACCCAUACGCGCAGUGAAAGCGAACGGAGGUGGGAACCCUUCGGGGCGCACCAUCGACCGAUCCUGAUGUCUUCGGAUGGAUUUGAGUAAGAGCGUAGCUGUGGGGACCCGAAAGAUGGUGAACUAUGCCUGAAUAGGGCGAAGCCAGAGGAAACUCUGGUGGAGGCUCGCAGCGGUUCUGACGUGCAAAUCGAUCGUCAAAUUUGGGUAUAGGGGCGAAAGACUAAUCGAACCAUCUGGUAGCUGGUUCCUGCCGAAGUUUCCCUCAGGAUAGCAGUAACGCAAUUUCAGUUUUAUGGGGUAAAGCGAAUGAUUAGAGGCCUUGGGGUUGAAACAACCUUAACCUAUUCUCAAACUUUAAAUAUGUAAGAAGCCCUUGUUGCUUAAUUGAACGUGGGCGUUAGAAUGUCGCGUUACUAGUGGGCCAUUUUUGGUAAGCAGAACUGGCGAUGCGGGAUGAACCGAACGCGAGGUUAAGGUGCCGGAAUGCACGCUCAUCAGACACCACAAAAGGUGUUAGUUCAUCUAGACAGCCCGACGGUGGCCAUGGAAGUCGGAAUCCGCUAAGGAGUGUGUAACAACUCACGGGCCGAAUGAACUAGCCCUGAAAAUGGAUGGCGCUCAAGCGUGUUACCUAUACCUCGCCGCCGGGGUAGAAACGACGCCCCGGCGAGUAGGCAGGCGUGGGGGUCCGUGACGAAGCCCUGGGAGUGAUCCCGGGUCGAACGGCCCCUAGUGCAGAUCUUGGUGGUAGUAGCAAAUACUCAAAUGAGAACUUUGAGGACUGAAGUGGGGAAAGGUUCCAUGUGAACAGCAGUUGGACAUGGGUUAGUCGAUCCUAAGGCAUAGGGAAGUUCCGUUUGAAAGGCGCCCUCGUGCGCCGUGUGCCGAAAGGGAAGCCGGUUAACAUUCCGGCACCUGGAUGUGGAUUCUCCACGGCAACGUAACUGAACGCGGAGACGUCGGCGGGGGUCCUGGGAAGAGUUCUCUUUUCUUCUUGACGGCCUAUCACCCUGAAAUCGGUUUGUCCGGAGCUAGGGUUCUAUGGCCGGCAGAGCCCCGCACCUUUGCGGGGUCCGGUGCGCCCCGACGACCCUUGAAAAUCCGCGGGAAGGAAUAGUUUUCACGCCAGGUCGUACUCAUAACCGCAGCAGGUCUCCAAGGUGAACAGCCUCUAGUUGAUAGAACAAUGUAGAUAAGGGAAGUCGGCAAAAUGGAUCCGUAACUUCGGGAUAAGGAUUGGCUCUAAGGGUCGGGCCCGCUGGGCCUUGGGGAAACCCCUCGGAGCAGGGGAGCACUAGCCGGGCAACCGGCCGGCGCUC
rnacentral:rRNA from 1 species